UACGAAGGGAGCUAGCGUUGUUCGGAAUCACUGGGCGUAAAGCGCACGUAGUCGGAUGUGUCAGUCAGGGGUGAAAUCCCGGAGCUCAACUUCGGAACUGCCCUUGAUACAGCACAUCUGGAGUCCGGAAGAGGUGGGUGGAAUUCCUAGUGUAGAGGUGAAAUUCGUAGAUAUUCGCAAGAACACCAGUGGCGAAGGCGGCUCACUGGCCCGGUACUGACGCUGAGGUGCGAAAGCGUGGGGAGCAAACAGG
rnacentral:rRNA from 1 species